GACCUCAACAGAACUGAUGCGGGGGAGGGGGACCCAAAUGUUUGCUCCAAGUUUUCUAUUAGAAGACUGAGGAUCAAGCUGGGGAGGUGACUCACUGGGUAAAACACUUGCCAGACGAGCAUGGAGACCUGAGCUUGGGUUUCUAAUGCAGGUUUCUGACAGUCCAUCAUGCCAGGAGCAAGUGGCAGAGCAAAACCAAUCUCAUUAUGGUCAGGCAGCAAAAAGCAUACACCCUCCAGUGACCUAAGGCCUCCCACCAAGCACCACCUUUUAAAAGCAACACUACCAGCCAAUAGCGCCACUUGGGAGAGCAAGCCAUAUGACUUUUGGUCUAACCUGCAAGUCAAGGAGAGCCAGCUUUCUUGCCUGCAAUUGCUAGUCACAUAUCUUCAGAAUCUGAUGAGAAGGAGUACCCUGGGGCAUCCUGACAUCAGAGAACCUCUCCCAUCGUGGGCUUCUUUUUCCUUCACUUGCUGAGAGCUUCACGUCCAUGGCACAAGACUGAGACAUAGACUCACAGUUUAUAAGGUAUACUCGAAGGAUGGAAGAUCAUCCAUCUCUCGAGCAGGAGUGGAGGAAGACUAAUGAGAACAUGCUGCACACAAAAAGCCUUGUGGUGUCCAAGACCCAUGGUAUUUUUGAUCAAGCCAAGGUGAUUUUCUCAUCACCUUAUUUGCUGGUAUGGGGGGAAAAACUUUUUAAGAUAAAAGCUCAGGCUGGAGAAAUGACUCAGCAGUUAAGAGCACUGACUGCUCUUUCAGAGGUCUGGAGUUCAAUU